GUUUUCAGCAAACCUUUAAUAUGCCUUCCCAAUGCUCUGUCAGGUACUGCAAACAAUGAGAACAGUGACGAUGAGGGUGGAACAAAUGAAUGGUUAAAAUUGUUUAGGGAUUUGGUAGUUAGACCCCUGGACAGCACAAUGGCGUUUUCUUGGUAUUGUGUGCCUGCCAGCUGCUCAUCAUAACUCAUUCAAAUUAAAUCAGGAUUCAUUUAUACUGGAUGUUGUUCAGGGAAUAACCCUGACACUGUCUUUUUUAUAUUUUAUUUUCCAGUUUAAAUUUAGAUAAGAAACAAGGUUGCUUCCGUUGGCCUUUCCUGGGAAGUCAUUAGGGAUGCAGGUCCACAAGACAAACAUCAUCAUAGUGAACAAGAAAGUCUAUGGUGCCAAGGCUCACAGUAACCCAUAUUUAUCAAUCCCUCUAGGUUAACAUUUGAAAGUCACUACUGGAGUUUACUAGUCAAAUAAAUAGGCAGUCCACAAAAAAUUGUUUAGGGAUGCAAACAUGUAAACAAAAUAAAAAUUUGUCAUUAUCUCCCCCAUGGCAUUGAUUAGUAAUUGUCUCCAAUUAUCAUGAUUGAGGCGUUGGGCUUUCAGAAGCUGUGCGUUGCAAUUCUGCUGGCACUAACUUACAACUAUUAGCGUGCCAAACUUUUCCUUGACUAAGACAAUUGACUGUGCUUGAUCCCUUACAGGAAUCUAAUGCCGGCUGAACAUUUGUCUGAAGGUUUCAGAGACAUACCUGCUGGAUGGUCUUUAUCAGACUGUGAUCAAGAAUGCCAAUUUGGUGCCCCAGUCAUUUCACCUUCAGUUAUCCAGGAUGCAGUCUUGGUGCCACAAUCAUUUCACAUUCAGGAGCCUAAUGCCGGCAGACCAUUUGUCUGAAGCUCGCCAAGAUCUUCCUGCUAGAUGGUAUUUGUCGUCUUGCUUUUCAGUUAUCCAGGAUGCAGACCAUAUGCCUCAAGUCAUUUCCCCUUCAGGUAAGUGGAAACAUCAGGUAAAGUGCCUUGUAUCUUUUUUAUCCUUGCCUUCGAACAUUAGACAGCAUGAAAUUCUAGGAAACCAGUGACAGUUAAGGCAAUGAACUUGUUCUCUUCCUUCCUUUUGGAAAUUCCCUAGGACUAAGUCCAUGAGAAAACACUGUUGAUCAAAACUGCCUUGUUUUGUAGAAUUCCAAGUAGUAGAUAGUGGGAACAGAGGAGUGACUGUUCAGGCAGGUGGGACACCAGGAUUGGAUCCGUACAUUCAGGCCCUGUCCCUUGCACAGCUCAGUGAUAGCUGAAUGUGAUCCUGAAAUACCUGCCUUGCCGUAUCUUUCUACCUACCUUGCUGAUUGUCACUGCCGAGAAAGAGCUUCAUGUACUCACUGUGUCAGGAGGGUGUCAUGCUCCAAACUUGCAAAUUCGGUACUUAAGAAUGUCCAGCAUACAAUCCCUCAACUGCAGGGAUAUCAUUUGAUUAAUUCUCUGGGUCGCAUAAGGCAGACAGUGUUCUAGUGCACUAAUGAACAUAUCAGUUAGGCAAAUUCAGAUACCGUUUCCUUUCAUUAACUUUAGAGAACUUGCCCUGCCUUGCAGGCAUAAGGCCAAAUGAGGCAAUUAGGCAGGGUUCAUCUGGCAAGGCAUUCUGUUCUUUGCCUAGAUUUAUAGACUCAUCAUGAUGUGGAGACCCACUCACCACACAAAAUUGGCAUGAAAUUUCAUUCACAUGAAUGACAUCCCAUGCUUCAAAGGCUUCCUUUGCGCAUGUGAAAAGGAAUGUGUCAAGAGAAUGUGGGUAGGCAUCCUAGGCAGGCUGUGCUUGCACAAUUAUGAUGUUUGAUUGUAAACAUCUUACUAUACUGAUUAGUUAGUAAUUUCAGAGGGAAAUGGGAUAGCGCUGUGCACAGAACUGCAUAUUACAGGCUGGAACUUUUAUCCCAACCUUAAAAUAAUACAAAACAAACAUUGACAAGUAUAAAAUAUCCAGCAAAGUCAACAGAAGGAAAUUUGGGCUUGGAAUACACACAUCUACUUCCUGCUGAAAUUGGAUGAUGACAAUCUCAUUGCGACCUGUUGGAAGAAAAAUGUUAGUGUAACAAGAAUCUUAAGUAGGUUAGACAGUCUCAGUUUGGCACGAGAUGGUUGACGGAAUUUCUGGAAUGGAGUUUUAUUGUUGAUUGAAGAUCUUGCCCGAAGGUCUGGACAGAUUGUAGGAGGUGCACUGUAUCAGUUCCUUGUUCUCGUGUUGUGCCGAUUGAUGCAGUUCCAAUACAGUUUCAGGGUGGAUGUUGUCAGGUGGAGUUGAUGAAGUGGGGCAGUUCAGAUGCAUCAAGUCAAAUCAGGUGGAGUCCAAAAAGUGGAGCCUCAUCCUCUUGCAGAGCAGUUGAAGAUUGGUGUUAGGAAGUUCCUUGUUCUCUGGAAAACUCAAAUAUUUAUGUUUACUAAGGAAUUUUCAACUAUUAUAUGUAUGAUUACUUUGAAAGGCAACAAUAAGAAUAUAGUAAACAUGAAGAAGAUUAGACUUUCUGAAAAGGAACAGAGUACACACAAAUGAGAGACCCUAAUUUUGUUUUCUUCUGUCUUAUAUCACUAUAAUAUUGAUUUAAUACAGAAACUCUGAAUUUUAUUUUAACAAUAAGCUUGCAUUAAGAUUAGGAAACCCAAUCCAACUCCAAAGCCAGCUUCAGGUAAAUGAAUGGGGACUAAAGCAUAUUAAGAAACAAAAAUAAAUGGAUAUUAUGAAAAACAAUUUAAAGAGACUUAGACUUUGAUUCCACACAGUGAAUUAUUAUUUGUUUGAUGAUUCUCCGAAUAGCUAUCAAUUCUUCUUCAGGUAUCCAUAUGUCCAGUAUUUCUUUUGCUGUUUGGAUAUAUGUUUUCCUGUGAAGACAAUAAACAAAACAUUUCUCAUUCUUUUUUUGAGGUCUCCUUUAACCAUAGUAGAAUAUGACCAUGUAGAGAACAUCUCCUGUGGUUUCUUCUUUUUGGAUCGAGUCUUAAUUAUUAUGAUGGAAACCAAAAUUUUUCUUCUCCUGUGGAAACAAAGCCAAAACAUCUUCCACAACGUAAUGCAUAUCUUGGUUUCCAGACUGAUGUCAUAACAACUUUGAAAUACUCUGGAUGGUGCAGUUCAGAAAUUUUCUCUCAAGUCCCGUGUCAUCCUGCAGCAGUUUUUCCUUUUCAUUAGCAUUAACAAUCUUCAAUGUUAAUAAAACAUUAUGUAAUCUGUGUUGGGGUCUUUGUAAAACCUGGAUGCUUUUAGACACAUUUUUUUAAGGUUCAGUUAGAUCUUUCAACAACUGCUUGUCCUUUGGGAUUGUGAGUUUCACCAGAUACAUGUUUUAUAUUAUAAUAUUUGGAAAACGGUUCCAAUUUGCUGGAGAGGUUUGUUGGAGCAUUGUCAGCUUUUAUUUGUGCAUUUAUACACAUUACAGCCAUAAAGUCUAAGAGUUGUGUGAUAACAGAAUCAGCCUUUUCAGAGCUGGAGGCAGUAAUACAUUGUUAAUCUCAGAACGUGUCUAUGGUGUGGUGUAAAUAUUUCAAUCUGACAAAUUCUUAAAAGUGAAAAAUUCCGUCUGCCAAAUUUCAUUUCUGCAAAUAACUUUGGGAUUACUGCUUGCUGAUAAUGGACUUUGAUUGUAGAAUAAACAGGUGGGGCAGUUUCUUACAUUUUGGACUUGUUACCAAAGGGUUGAAAAAUCCUUCUUUAAAACUUUGCUGUUAACAUAGUGUUUCUUAUGAAAGUCUGAAGCUUCCCACACAUUUUCUAUUAAUAAAGGAUCAAUCUUAUCUUUGCCUUAUACUAGAGGACCUGGCUCAACCAUAUGGGAUCUGAUGUGUCUUAUACAUAUAUUAGAUGAGUUCUAUUUCUGAUGGUUUUCUGUAAUUUUAAAAUCAAUGAGGUUAAUUCUGGACCAUCAUGAAUGAACUCUGCAGUCUCAAUGAGGAAGACAACUCUCUCUGCAUACUGAGAGUCUGUUACUAUUUUGAGAGGCAUUGUUUUUUUUUGUUUUUUUUUUUUUGGUUUUUCGA